GCCGGGCAUGGUGGCGCUUACCUGUAAUCCCAGCUACUCGGAAGGCUGAGGCAGGAGAAUUGCUUGAACCCAGGAGGCGGAGGUUGCAGUGAGCCAAGAUGGUGCCACUGCACUGCAGCCUGCUGACAGAGCAAGACUCCGUCUCAAAAAAAAAAAGUGGGAGUGAGAUUCUGCGUUUCUUUUGUGUGUGUGUGUGUGUGUGUUUUCAAGACAGAGUUUCACUCUUGUUGCCCAGGCUGGAGUGCAAUGGCACGAUCUUGGCUCACUGCAACCUCCAUCUCCUGGGUUCAAGUGAUUCUCCUGCCUCAG
rnacentral:SRP_RNA from 1 species